GACGUAGGGCGCGAGCGUUGUCCGGAUUUAUUGGGCGUAAAGAGCUCGUAGGCGGCUCAUUGCGUCAACCGUGAAAACCAGCAGCUCAACUGUUGGCUUGCGGUUGAUACGGGUGGGCUGGAGUUCGGUAGGGGAGACUGGAAUUCCUGGUGUAGCGGUGAAAUGCGCAGAUAUCAGGAGGAACACCGGUGGCGAAGGCGGGUCUCUGGGCCGAUACUGACGCUGGAGGAAGCGAAAGCGUGGGAGCGAACAGG
rnacentral:rRNA from 1 species